CGACGUCGGCCUUGACGUCGAUGACGCCUUUCUUAAUGACCGCAAUGUCGGCCUUUGACGCCUUUCUCAUCGAUUACGAUGUCGGUGACACUAAGGUUGUGGGUGACGCCUUUCUCAAUGAACGCGACGUCGGUGACGCCUACCUCGACUGCAGCGACGCCGGUCCAAACGACAAUAACGUCAGCCUCGAUGACCGUCAUCGGCUUUUCCAUGGUUUCGAUUCAUAUUUCACUUCGUUACUUGCCCCCUUGUUUUUCUUUUCUGUGCGCACAGACCAAAGUCACCGGAAACGCUGCUCCUACCGGCGAACCGCGUUCCGGAUCGGACGAACCCAAUCGCGGGGCGUUCGCGAUCCGGAUCGCCAAACAGAGCGAACUCGCGCCUUGGCGUCUUCGGCGGCUUUGAGGCUCCGAGCAGGGAGGACUAGUUUGGCGCAACGCUUGGCUAACACUUGCGCCGUCUCGGCUCCGAUCCUCCACACCUGUGAUGAUGGCCGUGACGGAGCGCAGAUCG
rnacentral:lncRNA from 1 species